rnacentral:rRNA from 1 species
GACGUAGGGUGCGAGCGUUUGUCCGGAUUUAUUGGGCGUAAAGAGCUCGUAGGCGGUGUGUCGCGUCGGUCGUGAAAACUUGGGGCUUGACCCUGAGCUUGCGGUCGAUACGGGCAUCACUGGAGUUCGGCAGGGGAGACUGGAAUUCCUGGUGUAGCGGUGAAAUGCGCAGAUAUCAGGAGAAACACCGGUGGCGAAGGCGGGUCUCUGGGCCGAUACUGACGCUGAGGAGCGAAAGCGUGGGGAGCGAACAGG